UAUAAAUUUCCUCUUUAAUCUAUUUUCUGAUGUUCAGUAAUAUUUGAUGUUGUUUUCUUCGUUCGGAAUAUCUUUAAUAGUCCAGAUUUACAAAUCAUUCCGGUGAUCCAGGGAUUCAACAAUCAUAAUAAUUAUCGAGAGUUGAAAUUGAUUUGACAUCAACCACCAGUGAUAGGUAUAGUUCAGGGUGAAUACCAUGUGGAGUGGAGGGAAUUCGGCCCAUGUCCUUUGGAAAGAAGAGGUACCGGUGAAGUUUUUUCCGAUGUUCAUCUCACCCGGAAGAAUAAAAAACCUGAACUCUAUGGCAAUCUCACACUUGCUGUUCCUUUUGAUGAUACCACACCGAUGAAAGUGAACUUUGCUAUUCUAGGAAUGAAUUCCGCAUGGAUUCCAAAUUUUUACUCGAUGACUUUUCUGAGAGGAUGCUCAGAUGGCUACUUAGCAAUGUUCAACGAAGGCUGGGUUAAUUACAUGUUGAGUUUCGGUAUAUCUCCUGCGUGUCCUGUGCCAAAGGAUAGGUACGAGUUGUAUUUAAAUUCACAUUGUCAUUCAUGCUAGGGAUUUCAUCGAACCCGAGGCUAUGAUCCUGAUAACUUUUUGAAGAAUUCAAUGCUGCCGAAACAGUUCGUCUACGGUCGUUACAAAAUGGAAAUGGAGUACUACACUAAGCGAAAUACCCUUAUGGGAUGUUCUUAUCUCACCAUUGAUGUCGUGCCAAUUUGGCAAAAGAAAAAAAGCAAUAGAACAAAUUCAACUUCAUGAAUAGCAUAUUUUAACGACUCACACCUCAUUGAAAAUAAUCGAUUACAUGUGUGUACUGAAACAAUAAAUGAAUGAUUGAUUGAUUAGUUGAUAACAUUUCUCAUUCCAAAAAUUAAGUGGAAAUUUUGAAAUUAUUGUUAGGCAUAUUUUAACCUUGACGUGUGACGAUUUCCGGUGCUAUCGAGGUCCAUGUUUAGUAGAUAGAUAAGCAUCUCGUUUGAAAGUGGCAUCUGUUUCAAAAUAUGCUCAUUAUUGAUGACACCUUAUUAUUAAUAUGCAAUUACCCUUACGGAAAAAAAUAGUACUUUCUGAGUAGUAGUUUUUUA